GAAAAAACCACACCUAGUUAAUCAAUAAUCAAAAGGAACCUCUUGCUUGAAACUGUUUACUUAACAAGUUUUCUUUAAGGGACAUGUCAUUGUAUUACUAAUGUAUAAAUAAGGGGGGAAAGCUUGAGAUAGGCGGGACUGUUCGGGACUGGUCUCUCCCUCUGGAUGCAUCUUGUGUUCCCCAGCGGCAGACGGGCUGCCACUGUGCCACUUGAAAGCCACACUCAGGGCUCUAAAGGGAGCCACAAUAGGUUGUGUUUUCUUUUUCAGAGUUCUGUAUGUUUUGGAAACAGGAGAAAGCAAAACUCGGGUGGAAGUCGAUUGUGUCCUUUUUAAGUCAGGGUCUCUGAAGUGCUGAUGGCUUUGGAUCCAAAAGGAAGCCAGAAAGCCUCUGUGAAAAUGCCAGUUACCUUACUGAUGGAGGAAGGUGGAAAAAGAAGUCAAACCUAAAAAUGAGAGAGGGACAAGUUAACCCUAAAAAAUCAGGAAAAACUGAUACCAGCUGAAGAGCCUCCCAGAAUACCAUAGCUCUAUUGUCAUGACGAAACUUGUGUUUUGUGUUUUAUGUUUUGCAUUUUGUCUUGUGUUGUUUGUCUCGUUGCUAGCACUGCUUUGUAUUGUGUUACAAAACAAGAAAAUACUGCAUUAGGCAGAAAAGGAUGAGCAAGCAUUUUAACUAUAUUUACAGAAACGCCAGUCUGUCAACAGGGAAACAUCCUUAGGUGAUAAAGGCACAUUUAAAAGUAAAAUAUGCAUGAGACACAAGAUGUUUCUGUUGGUGGGAAUAAAAGGAUGGACAUAAAAAGUUUUACAGUACAAAGUGAAAUUACCAAGGGAAAAAAGGGUAUGUAAAAACAUUGGUUACUAAAAGAAUAAGACUUGCCAGUUAUUAGUUCUUAGUCAACUUCCAGCAUGCAAGCCCAGCUGAAUGCACCUGGGUGUUGUAUGACAUUGGAUGUAAGAAAAGAAAGGCCCAGGGAAGGUAUAGCUGCCCUAAUACUAUCUCCAUGGGAACUGCUGAAGAUUAUUGGAUUUUCCCUGGUAGCCAGGAGGGGUAGGUAGCCUAAAGAAAAGGCUCCCAAUAAAUGUAUUGAACUGCUUUGGGUGGAACUGGAUUAGAAGUUGGAGUGCUGGAUGCUACUAACAUUGAGGUAUUGGUAAACAAUUGAAGUUAUGUUCUAAAUGUUUCUGUCAUAUUAUAGCAAUUAGGGUACGUGACUUUGAAUUUCAUGUACCUGAAUUUAAAUAUAGUCAGUUAAAAGUG